GGCAGGAGUAUGGUUAGAAGCUCAGACAGAAGCCAAACUAUUCCACGAAAGGAAGGAGAGCCCUGGAAGGGGGGGUCCAUGGGAAGAGUCAGGACUGGCAGGAGAAGAGUGAGCUGUCACUUGCGCAGGUACAAAGCCCCCGUGCUACCAAGCUUUGUGCUUCAAGAGAACCAGUUCGCCCCGGUUGAGCUAAUGUUGGCGGAACCAAUGAAGUUACUCAGUCAGGAGUCUCCAUAUUGGAUGGUGACUGAUCGAUCCAGUGAAACCCUUUCUUCUUGGGAAGGUUGAAGAUGCCACCCUUCCCCCUACCACCCACUGCUUGAACAUGCAGAGUCACAACUCCCUGCAGCCAGAAAGAAGGGGACCCACACGGCCCCUGGUCCCGCCACCCCUGUCAGAAGAGGACCGCUGCCUAGCUUGGCAAGUCUUGUCUCGGGAGCCUCUCUAGCCCCCAGGGCUUGCCCGGCUCACCCACCAUCUGUUGGAUGAUUCACGCCUGGCUGGAAGCAAAGUCGAGGCUCGAUUUGGGUCUUGGGACUUGAAUUUGUUCCAAAAUCAAAGGUGUCAAGCUGAGUGGCCUUAAAA